CGGAACGGGUGAGUAAUGCGUGACCAACCUGCCCCAUGCUCCAGAAUAGCUCUUGGAAACGGGUGGUAAUGCUGGAUGCUCCAACUUGACGCAUGUCUUGUUGGGAAAGUGUUUAGUGGCAUGGGAUGGGGCCGCGUCCUAUCAGCUUGUAGGCGGGGUAAUGGCCCACCUAGGCUUCGACGGGUAGCCGGCCUGAGAGGGCGGACGGCCACAUUGGGACUGAGAUACGGCCCUUACUCCUACGGGAGGCAGCAGAU
rnacentral:rRNA from 1 species